CCUACGGGCGGCAGCAGUGAGGAAUAUUGGUCAAUGGGCGGAAGCCUGAACCAGCCAAGUAGCGUGCGGGAUGAAGGCCCUACGGGUCGUAAACCGCUUUUGCACGGGGAUAACACCCUCCACUUGUGGAGGUCUGUAGGUACCGUGCGAAUAAGGGCCGGCUAAUUCCGUGCCAGCAGCCGCGGUAAUACGGAAGGCCCGAGCGUUAUCCGGAUUUAUUGGGUUGAAAGGGUGCGUAGGCGGACGCUUAAGUCAGCGGUAAAAUUGCGGGGCUCAACCUCGUCGAGCCGUUGAAACUGGGGGCCUUGAGUGGGCGAGAAGUACGCGGAAUGCGUGGUGUAGCGGUGAAAUGCAUAGAUAUCACGCAGAACUCCGAUGGCGAAGGCAGCGUACCGGCGCCCAACUGACGCUGAAGCACGAAGGCGUGGGUAUCGAACAGGAUUAGAUACCCCUGUAGUC
rnacentral:rRNA from 1 species